UACGUAGGGGGCAAGCGUUGUCCGGAAUCAUUGGGCGUAAAGAGCAUGUAGGCGGCCCGGUAAGUCCGCUGUGAAAGUCCAGGGCUCAACCCUGGGAUGCCGGUGGAUACUGUCGGGCUCGAGUCCGGAAGAGGAGUGUGGAAUUCCUGGUGUAGCGGUGAAAUGCGCAGAUAUCAGGAGGAACACCAAUGGCGAAGGCAGCACUCUGGGACGUGACUGACGCUGAGACGCGAAAGCGUGGGGAGCAAACAGG
rnacentral:rRNA from 1 species